GUACAUAUUACAGUUUUAUUCUUUCGGAUUUCAACUUAAAACACUCAUUCAUCACCUUGUCACAAUAUACACAUAUUACUGGAUUUGAAUGAUUAGAUAACAAAACUCAUCAGCAAAGUGGACUAAACCAUCUUCCUGUCACUCUAUAUAUACACUACUAAACGAAUUGGUGUAGUUUUCUUUCCUCUUCCCCAAAAAUCUCUUCUUUUUUGUUCUUUUUUUUUUCAAACAUCUUUGUGUCAAUGUGUUUACCUAAGCUACAGCUGAGAUGCUGCAGCUGGCCUCUUCCCAAAAAAUCUCUUCUUUUUUAUUCUUUUUUUUUUUCAAACAUCUUUGUGUCAAUGUGUUUACCUAAGC
rnacentral:lncRNA from 1 species